rnacentral:lncRNA from 1 species
AUGAGCUGUCGUGGAAACAGAAUUCUCCAAGUAAUUAGACAGCGGGUGUUUGUUGGCCACCCGAUGAAAUGGGGAGGGGGGAGAGGGUACCAGCCUGCUGUGGAGGAAGAGAGGCUGACUGAGCCCUUGGAUUCAGCCAGCCUGCACUGCUGGCUGUGUGACCCAGCCUUCAGGAGAGGAGACAUCAGCAGGCUGAGGAGCCCAGCCUCAGGUCGGGGUCCACCAGUGCCCUGUUGUCUCAAGAAAGCCCAGCAUCACAAGGUAGGGGCAGCCCGGGCAGAGGCAAGGCCUGUGGCCAGAGGGGCAGGGGAGUACCCACAGGGAGGGGGUCAAUUCCGAAAGCUCUGCCCUGGUCACAGGCUGACCUCAGACAGACCUCUGCCUGAACUGGGCCUCAGUUUCCCUACUGCACAUGUCAGGACGGACUGAAGCACCUCAGCCUGGGCCCGUGCCCUUCUGCUGUGGUGGGUGACCUUGCCCUUAUCGACCUGGCCUGUCUACCUCACCCCUGCACCCAAGAUCAAUAAGGAACAAGGCCCAGAAGGGCUUGGGAAAGGGCAGCAGGGGCUGGUGGCCACAGCCCCAGGAGACACUGAUGGGGUGGGUUAUCCCCACAGGAGCUUCUGCCACCCUCCUGUCCCCGGGAUUUACCUAGGAAGCACCACGGCAUUGUGGGCCCUGGGAUGGUGGAGGGCAGUAUCAUGUGUGAGAAGUGACUGAGGACGAGGGGACAGAUGGCUGGUGGGGGGUGGUGAGUCAGUGGUGGGGGGCUGGCAGGAGUGGGGAGUGGGCACAGG